ACAUGGCAACCCACUCCAGUAUUCUUGUCUGGAGAAUUCCAGGGGCAGAGGAGCUUGGCAGGCUAUAGUCCAUAGGGUUACAAAGAGUUGGACAGAACUGAAGCGACUUAGCACACCGCACAGUACAGAAGGAAAGAGAGUGAGAAUAGACUAGGGCAAUAGAAAUCACUCCCCUGAAUUCAUUUUAUUUAUUCAUUUGCCUAGGUUGUUUUUACCCAACCUUUUGAUCUAUGUAGCAGAAUCAACAGAUUUGACUUUUUUUAACCUUCAUUGUAGCCACACACAGGAGUUCAAAGUAUCUAAAGGAACUGGAUGAUUUCCAAGUAUGCUCUCUCAGGGUUCUUGGCAUGGUAGCAGUGUUUCCAAAAACUGGUACAGAGUGCAAGGUCGCUGUUUGUAACUGAUAGAGAAGCAGUUCCUUUCUUUGACUUUUUCUCCACCCCAGCCCUCUACUCCACACAAACCAAAACCAAGGAAAGGAGGAAGAUAGGAAAGAAAACAGUAUUUCAGCCAUGGGGACAGUCUCCUAGAUUUGGGUCCCCACCCAAAUCUACUUACUAGUUUCUGGAGCAUUUCCUACCUGAUCGUCUAUUGCUGGUUUAUUUAGGUUUCAGCUUGAAUAGACCUCCUGCAAACAAUGAACUACAAUUGUUAGUGCUACAAACAAUGAAGCACUACAGGUUUUUAUAAUUGUUGACAUGCAGUCUGCCUUUCAACUAUGUGAGCCUACAUAGCAGAGGACUGAAAGGAAGAGAAGAAAUAACUCAGAAAGAAGAGGAAGCCGACCUAAAGUUGCACAUGAGAGCUUUUUAAUUUUUUUUUAAAACAAAAUGAAUGUGCUGCUUUUGAAAAGGGACUGAAUGGCAUUGAAAGUUUGAUUCGUUUUGCUCAACUAGGACCAGGGAUGUCAUGGAAACUACGUGGUGAGCCUUCCACCCCCACCUGAUAGUCAGAGUCAGAGGGGCCGUGUGGAAUGACUGGACUUCCUCCACCAUCAGAGGUAAGGAGGCCACCCCUCACUGCCAUGGUGUCAGUGGAGGCCACCUAGGGAACACUCCUACCCUUCUAGGCUAGGGGUAUAUCAGUGGAAGCCCAGUGGGGAGUUGAAACUCCCACUACCACUUAAGAGCAUUGAGGAGCCCCAGCCGCCCCCCUCACCCCCGUCAACAGGUAUCAACAGAGGCAAAAAAUGGAGCCUAGAUUUCUAUCCCCACCUGGCAUUAACAAAGACAAUGCCCCCCUCCAUUACCUCACCAGAGCAGUGUCAGGAAAGCCAGCUAAAAGAGGGGAUUAAAAUAAGAUCCAGAAUGUCACAAUACCCAAAGCAUUCAGGCUUCAAUCAGAAUUAUUCAUCAUACCAAGAACCGGGAAGAUUGAAAACUAAUAAAAAGAAAAUGUCAAUACAAAGGUGACAGAGAAGUUAAAAUUAUUUGAAAAACAUUUUAAAGCAGCCAUCAAAAAAUGUUUCAAUAAGCAGUUAGA